CGGGGGGAGCAAGCGUUGUUCGGAUUUACUGGGCGUAAAGGGCGCGUAGGCGGCGUGACAAGUCACUUGUGAAAUCUCCGGGCUUAACUCGGAGCGGUCAAGUGAUACUGUCGUGCUAGAGUGCGGAAGGGGCUACUGGAAUUCUCGGUGUAGCGGUGAAAUGCGUAGAUAUCGAGAGGAACACCUGCGGCGAAGGCGGGUAGCUGGGCCGACACUGACGCUGAGGCGCGAAAGCUAGGGGAGCGAACGGGAUUAGAUACCCCGGUAGUCCUAGCCUUAAACGAUGGAUGCUUGGUGUCCGGGGUUACAAAGUCCCCGGGUGCCGUCGCUAACGCCUUAAGCAUCCCGCCUGGGGAGUACGGUCGCAAGACUG
rnacentral:rRNA from 1 species